ACUGGGCGUCGUGGCGGGCGCCUGUGAGCCAGCUUCCAGGCAGUAGAUUGGUGUGGAUGGAGUGAGGGGAGGAGUCCCGCGGUAGUCGUUGAGCACGGCGACCGGGCGUCCGCGCCAAGCGUUGCGUCGCCAGGGGUCACCCGCCGGAAGGCGGGAGGUCCUGGGCGGUCAAGGAGGGGUGCACGGCUCAGGCCCGAACUCCUGUAUCUGGCAGGCUUUCUCUGCCUGGCCGCGACGCGCCGGCCUCGUGCGUCGCGGCUUUUCGCAACAGAGCGCGUCUAUGU
rnacentral:SRP_RNA from 1 species